CGCGUAGGCGGCCACUGCAAGUCGGUUGUGAAAUCUCCGGGCUUAACCCGGAAAGGUCAAUCGAUACUGCAGGGCUAGAGUGCAGAAGGGGCAACUGGAAUUCUCGGUGUAGCGGUGAAAUGCGUAGAUAUCGAGAGGAACACCUGCGGCGAAGGCGGGUUGCUGGGCUGACACUGACGCUGAAGCGCGAAAGCUAGGGAGCGAACG
rnacentral:rRNA from 1 species